AUGCUCGCUUGAGCAGCACAUACACUAAAAUUGGAAGGAUACGAGAAGAUUAGCAUGGCCCCUGCACAAGGAUGACACACAAAUUCAUGAAGCGUUCCAUAUUUAA
ensembl:snRNA U6 U6 spliceosomal RNA